rnacentral:tRNA from 1 species
ACCGAAUUGGUGUAGGGGUUAACAUUCAAGAUUCUCAUCCUUUCUUUCGUCCGCGAAAAGGAGUGUUCUUGAGCCAGGAGUUCGAAUCUCCUAUUCGGUG